ACCCAGAUGACGAGUCCAGAAUGGGACGAAACUUUUGUCCUGGAU
rnacentral:hammerhead_ribozyme from 1 species